rnacentral:rRNA from 1 species
GCGGAGGACUUGAAACCAAAUUGGCAGACCUCAGUAAUGGCGAAUGAACUGGGAUGUGCUCAGUGCUGGAAUUGAGGUGUGAGCCUCUAACUGUGCUGCUGUGGUGUGCAGCUUGCGGGGGCGUAGGCUUGAGCUUCUUGGAAAAGGGCGCCUCUGAGGGUGAGAGUCCCUCACUUUGCCUACUGUCCUGCAGGACUGGUGUACCUUCCAAGAGUCGUGCUCUUUGGGACUGGAGCGCAAUGGGGUGGUAAGCUGCAUCUAGAGCUGAUCAAACGCUUGAGGCCAAUAGCUGACAAGUACUGUGAGGGAAAGGUGAAAAGGACUUUGGAGAGAGAGCUAAAAGUGCCUGAAAUCAUUGUGGGUGAAGUGAGUUGGGUUGCUAUGUUGGUGAGAUUGCUUCGUGGCAUGCGCACUGGCUCUUGCGCUCACUCAUGUGAGAUCUCAGGGUGAGUGACAGCCUGCGUGGCGUGUCUCAUCUAGAGUGUUGUCAGCAGUUGCUCCUCGAACAUGUCCACAAGCUUUGUCAGCUGACCCCGCGUCAGUUGCACGCUUGCCCUGUUUGACUGCAGAUUGCUUGAUGCCUUUAAGGACAGCCUGAUUCAUCCCGUCUUGAAACACGGACCAAGGAGUCUAGCAUAUGUGCAAGUGCGCUGGUCUGCAGAAAUCUGGCUGCAAAGUUAAGGGCGACUGCCAGGCAAUCUACACUGGCAACCAACUUAGCGCUGGGGCAAGGUUUGAGUGUGAGCACAGAUGCUGGGACCCGAAAGAUGGUGAACUAUGCUUGUGCAGGGCAAACUCAGGGGAAACCCUGGUGGAGGCUUGCAGCGCUACUGACGUGCAAA